GUUUCCCUCUCAUCUCACCCGGCAUGUAUUCUCAAGGUCACCACAAGGCCCAAGAUAGCUGCUGAAGCUCCAGCCAUCCUAUCUGCAUUCCAGAAUUUCCCACAGUCUGGAUGUUGCUGAUUGCAUCUGUGUGUUGUCCUUUAACCUUUUUAAGAAGGUGGCCUCCACGACGACAUUUGCACAGAGACCUGAAGGAGGGAAGCCAGCGAGCGAGCCCUGCAGAAAUCUGAGGGUACGAGGCUCCAGCCCAGCUUCCGGUUUUUCUUAGCUUGACUGCUCCAAGCCUUGACCUCUGAAACCACGUGCUUUUUUCUUGGAAGCGCCCUCCCUGCCAUGGCAAGUAAUCCAGCUGCCUUCAUCAAUCUGCAGCAAAAUAUUUGUGUUAAAAGCACUUGGCCUUAAAAACUGGAAACCACCCAAAUCUCUAUCAACAGAAUGAAUCAACAAAGUGAAGGAUAUUCAGGGGAUGGAAUACUACCCAGCAGUGAAAAA